GAUGAACGCUGGCGGCGUGCCUAAUACAUGCAAGUCGAGCGAACAGACGAGGAGCUUGCUCCUCUGACGUUAGCGGCGGACGGGUGAGUAACACGUGGAUAACCUACCUAUAAGACUGGGAUAACUUCGGGAAACCGGAGCUAAUACCGGAUAAUAUAUUGAACCGCAUGGUUCAAUAGUGAAAGACGGUUUUGCUGUCACUUAUAGAUGGAUCCGCGCCGCAUUAGCUAGUUGGUAAGGUAACGGCUUACCAAGGCAACGAUGCGUAGCCGACCUGAGAGGAGGAUCGGCAGCGCUGGAGCUGAGACACGGUCCAGACGCCGACGGGAGGCAGCAGUAGGGAAUCUUCCGCAAUGGGCGAAAGCCUGACGGAGCAACGCCGCGUGAGUGAUGAAGGGCUUCGGAUCGUAAAACGCUGUUAUUAGGGAAGAACAAAUGUGUAAGUAACUAUGCACGUCUUGACGGUACCGAAGCAGAAAGCCACGGCUAACUACGU
rnacentral:rRNA from 1 species